ACCUGUUGGAAGAAGUCGUCGAAGGGGGAAUCAAUAACUGGGGUGAAGUCGUAACAAGGUAGCCGUAUCGGAAGGUGCGGCUGGAUCACCUCCUUUCUAAGGAGA
rnacentral:rRNA from 1 species